GUCGAAGCCAUUCCUUUCCAAAUACCAUGAACUAAAUCUCCAUUAUCCACAGAAUUUCUGAAACAAAGUAAAGAUGAUGAAUCUUUUGGCCCUUUCUCUUGUUUUCUCUUCGUUAUUUGCUGCCCAAGUAUGGUCGUCAAGCCUAGCAUCUGGGAAGCUCUACCACAAUCAGAAAGAGGAGGAUGUCAUAGUUAAAGAAGGUCACAGGGUGUCAUUGUUAUAGAGACUUAUGACGAAGAUGGCCAACACAAUACCAAGUCUCUAUCUCUCCUCCUCAGGAUCCUAUUUCCACCGCCGAACAUGACAAGUUCCUGUCUGGGAUGCUCGACAACGCCAAAGAAAAGGUGAAACAAGCCGCCUAUGUUAUUCCAAAUGUUGGCCAAGGCCUUUCUGGUUCUUAUCCUGACGCUAAAUCCAGUGAUGGACGAGGUCCUGGAGAGCUUAUAUGCGAUGCUUUUGAGAAAUGCGCUUAUAAUUUGCUAGAGUUAUUGGUAAAGCUAAAAACCAGGUUUCUGACAAGGCACAUGAAGCGGUGGCUCAACAGAAAGUAGAAAAUGCAUAUGAGAAAGCAAAGGAGACUGCGUCUCAAAAAGCCCACGAAGCGAAACAAGCAGUAGAAGAUGCAUGUGAGAAAACCACGGAUUCUGCGAUUCACAAAGCUCAGGAUGUCAAGGAAACUGCAAAACAAGCUGUAGGAGAUGCAUAUGAGAAAGCCGAGGAGUAUGAGAUCCGCAAAGCUCAGGAUGUCAAAGAAACUGCAAGAUAGUCCUUAGAUAAAGCCAAAGAGACAGGAAAGACGAUUGGGAUGGAAGCAGCAAGAAACGUCUCCGAGAAAGUGGACAAAGUUAAACAAUGCACAGGGCAAGCUAAAAGCAGAGUCUCUGAAUUUUUUAGCCAUAUGGGUUCAUCUGAGGGACUCAAUUCUUUGAUGGGUGUGGUGAGUCUGCUGGGUUUCGCGACGGCUUAUGGGAUGUGUAUGUAGGUUACAUUCAUUUCGAGCUAUGUUUUGGCUGGUACUUUGAUAAAGCACCAGUUUGGGAUUGUGCAGAGCAAGAUAUAUCAAGUAUAUUUCAGGGCCCAGGCUUAUUGUAUUGGAGCAGCUUUGUUGGGGCAUGUACUUGGCCAGAGAAAGAAGGUUUUUACCAGCAAAGCAGAGAUGUUCCAAGUGUAUAAUCUUCUUGCAUCGAUUUUUAUGGUUCUGAUCAAUACCCUGUACUUGGAGCGUUUAGCUACAAAGGUACCUCUGUUAGGUCACGGUUGAACUUGCUUGUUCAUGGUGGUAAAAUUAUUAUUAAGUUCAAUUCAUGUUUUAGCUGCUUGUAUAUAAUUUGCAGGCGAUGUUUGAGAAACUAAAGAUUGAGAAGGAAGAAGGUAGAGGAAGAGAAAUACCAAGUGGUGAAGGUAACAGAUGGGCAGAGGCGCAGCCAGUGACUGCAGCCGCACCAGUGGCAGAGAAUACAGAGCAAAGGGAAAUCAGUACAAGAAUAAUUAGACAGAAUGAGAGGUUGAAGAAGCUAAAUUCCUAUUCUUCCUUGCUGAACAUAGUGACACUGAUGGCUCUCGGCUGGCACUUGGUUUACCUAGGCCAGAACCUCCAUGGAAUUUGUUAGAGGAUAUGGAUAAAGGAUUUUCAUUUUACUGGUGUGUAUUGCUACUUUGUUGGGCUUUGGGAAGUGAAAAAUCUGCAAGGAAAUGUAACCAAGAAAAUAGAGUAGGAUUUUAGGUGUUCAAUUUUGAUGUAAAUUAUUUGGUAGUUCUGUAAAUUAAGAAAUCUAUAUUGUACUGCGUUGGAAUUCUCUCUCUCU
rnacentral:misc_RNA from 1 species